AACGUAGGUUCCGAGCGUUAUCCGGAUUUAUUGGGCGUAAAGAGCGUGUAGGCGGCCAGAUAAGUCCGCUGUGAAAUCUCGAGGCUCAACUUCGAGCUGUCGGUGGAAACUAUCUGGCUAGAGUCCGGAAGAGGAGAAUGGAAUUCCUGGUGUAGCGGUGAAAUGCGCAGAUAUCAGGAAGAACACCCGUGGCGAAGGCGGUUCUCUGGGACGGUACUGACGCUGAGACGCGAAAGCGUGGGGAGCGAACAGG
rnacentral:rRNA from 1 species